AGUGAACGCUGGCGGUAGGCCUAACACAUGCAAGUCGAACGACAGCACAGUAAGAGCUUGCUCUUACGGGUGGCGAGUGGCGGACGGGUGAGGAAUACAUCGGAAUCUACUUUUUCGUGGGGGAUAACGUAGGGAAACUUACGCUAAUACCGCAUACGACCUACGGGUGAAAGCAGGGGAUCUUCGGACCUUGCGCGAUUGAAUGAGCCGAUGUCGGAUUAGCUAGUUGGCGGGGUAAAGGCCCACCAAGGCGACGAUCCGUAGCUGGUCUGAGAGGAUGAUCAGCCACACUGGAACUGAGACACGGUCCAGACUCCUACGGGAGGCAGCAGUGGGGAAUAUUGGACAAUGGGCGAAAGCCUGAUCCAGCCAUACCGCGUGGGUGAAGAAGGCCUUCGGGUUGUAAAGCCCUUUUGUUGGGAAAGAAAAGCAGCAGGUUAAUACCCCGCUGUUCUGACGGUACCCAAAGAAUAAGCACCGGCUAACUUCGUG
rnacentral:rRNA from 1 species